rnacentral:rRNA from 1 species
ACCCGCACAAGCGGUGGAUGAUGUGGAUUAAUUCGAUGCAACGCGAAAAACCUUUACCUACCCUUGACAUGUCCGGAAUCCCGAAGAGAUUUGGGAGUGCUCGCAAGAGAACCGGAACACAGGUGCUGCAUGGCUGUCGUCAGCUCGUGUCGUGAGAUGUUGGGUUAAGUCCCGCAGCGAGCGCAACCCUUGUCAUUAGUUGCCAUCAUUUGGUUGGGCACUCUAAUGAGACUGCCGGUGACAAACCGGAGGAAGGUGGGGAUGACGUCAAGUCCUCAUGGCCCUUAUGGGUAGGGCUUCACACGUCAUACAAUGGUCGGUACAGAGGGUUGCCAACCCGCGAGGGGGAGCUAAUCCCACAAAGCCGAUCGUAGUCCGGAUCGCAGUCUGCAACUCGACUGCGUGAAGUCGGAAUCGCUAGUAAUCGUGGAUCAGCAUGUCACGGUGAAUACGUUCCCAGGUCUU